CCUAGGGUUGAAACCCUAGGCUAUAAUAUCAAUCGCCCUUACAGGGCU
rfam:Indibacter alkaliphilus LW1 Indibacter_contig_46, whole genome shotgun sequence.